rnacentral:rRNA from 1 species
CAAAAUAGUGAUAUAGAGCAAAGCCCUAAAAGCAACCUCAGUUCGGAUUGAAGGCUGAAAUUCGCCUUCAUGAAGCUGGAAUUGCUAGUAAUCGCGAAUCAGAAUGUCGCGGUGAAUACGUUCCCGGGUCUUGUACACACCGCCCGUCACACCAUGGGAGUCGGGAAUGCCCGAAGUCAGUGACCCAACCAUAUGGAGGGAGCUGCCGAAGGCAGGUCUGAUAACUGGGGUGAAGUCGUAACAAGGUAUC